AACGAACGCUGGCGGCAGGCUUAACACAUGCAAGUCGAACGGGUGUAGCAAUACAUCAGUGGCAGACGGGUGAGUAACACGUGGAAACCUUCCUAGGGGUACGGAACAACUCAGGGAAACUUGAGCUAAUACCGUAUACGUCCGUGAGGAGACAGAUUUAUCGCCCUUAGACGGGUCCGCGUCGGAUUAGCUAGUUGGUGGGGUAACGGCCUACCAAGGCGACGAUCCGUAGCUGAUCUUAGAGGAUGAUCAGCCACACUGGGACUGAGACACGGCCCAGACUCCUACGGGAGGCAGCAGUGGGGAACCUUGGAUAAUGGGCGCAAGCCUGAUCCAGCCAUGCCGCGUGAGUGAAGAAGGUCUUCGGAUUGUAAAGCUCUUUUGCCAGGGACGAUAAUGACGGUACCUGGAGAAUAAGCCCCGGCAAACUUCGUGCCAGCCGCCGCCGUAAAAC
rnacentral:rRNA from 1 species